rnacentral:pre_miRNA from 1 species
GUAGUAUUCCCUCCGUCCCAAAAUUCUUGUCUUACAUUUGUUUAGAUACAGAUGUAUCUAACACUAAAAUGUAACUAGAUACAUCCAUAUUUAGACAAAUUUAAGACAAGAAUUUUGGGACGGAGGGAGUACAAA